CCUUAAUACAAUGGUCCCUUAAUUUCUUAUCACAGAGCAACAUUUAUUUGGCCAAAUGACCUGAGCCUAAUCAGUUGGGGAUGCCAAACAGAGCCCGGUACUAGAAGGAACCUAAAUUCUAGUUCCAUUCUGCUGCUUAGUGAAAAUGUUUGUUUGGGCAUGUCACUGAGUUCAGUUUUCUCAUCUGGAUGACUUUGAAGUCUCCUCCUAAUUUUAACAGUUUAUGCUCCUGGAACUUGAUCACAGUCUCUUUCCAUCAGCUUUUCUACCUAGGUUACUGGUCAAUUACAAAAGAAAAGAAAUCUGUAGCAGCAGAGUAACCUGGCAGAUGCCAAUUUAACCAAGGGAUUGAAGCUGAUGUCUUCAAUGAUGAGACAAACCCCCAUCCUUGCUUCCUGAUGUGAGGCUUCCCCAUGGCACAGCCUUUCUAACCUAGCAGAAACCUCAGACAGGUCCAAACCCAUGGACAUUAUGCAAAUUAACUGACCCGUACUCUUCAAAAAUGUCAAGGUCACGAAACACAAGAAAAGGUUGAGGAACUGUUUUAAAUUAAAAGAAAAUAAAGAAAUACCAUUACAACA
rnacentral:lncRNA from 13 species